rnacentral:rRNA from 1 species
GGCGGCGUGCCUAACACAUGCAAGUCGAGCGAAGCGGUUUUGAGGAAGUUUUCGGACGGAAUCAUAACUGACUGAGCGGCGGACGGGUGAGUAACGCGUGGGUAACCUGCCUCAUACGGGGGGAUAACAGUUAGAAAUGGCUGCUAAUACCGCAUAAGCACACAGCUUCGCAUGGAGCAGUGUGAAAAACUCCGGUGGUAUGAGAUGGACCCGCGUCUGAUUAGCUAGUUGGUAAGGUAACGGCUUACCAAGGCGACGAUCAGUAGCCGACCUGAGAGGGUGACCGGCCACAUUGGGACUGAGACACGGCCCAAACUCCUACGGGAGGCAGCAGUGGGGAAUAUUGCACAAUGGGGGAAACCCUGAUGCAGCGACGCCGCGUGAGUGAAGAAGUAUCUCGGUAUGUAAAGCUCUAUCAGCAGGGAAGAAAAUGACGGUACCUGACUAAGAAGCCCCGGCUAACUACGUGCCAGCAGCCGCGGUAAUACGUAGGGGGCAAGCGUUAUCCGGAUUUACUGGGUGUAAAGGGAGCGUAGACGGCGGAGCAAGUCUGAAGUGAAAGCCCGGGGCUCAACCCCGGGACUGCUUUGGAAACUGUUCUGCUAGAGUGCUGGAGAGGUAAGUGGAAUUCCUAGUGUAGCGGUGAAAUGCGUAGAUAUUAGGAGGAACACCAGUGGCGAAGGCGGCUUACUGGACAGUAACUGACGUUGAGGCUCGAAAGCGUGGGGAGCAAACAGGAUUAGAUACCCUGGUAGUCCACGCCGUAAAC